rnacentral:lncRNA from 1 species
CUGGAGUAUGUCUUUCUCCCCAUUUGAGCAUUGUUCCAAUCAACAAUAUCUUCUUCAAUUUCCCAACGACCACCUGUUCGAUAAAAUUUCAAGCCCAUAUCCGGCCAACAUUUUCUCCCAUUCUUUCAUUAGACGAUAAGAGUUGGUCCUACGUCCAUCUCAGAACUACGUGGGAUGGAAUGAAUACUUUAGUGUUAUGUAAGGAAAAUCCUAUGAUGAUGC